CGCCACUGAGAGGGACGGGCGCCGGCCAUGGAGCGCACAGCAGGCAAAGAGCUGGCCCUGGCACCGCUGCAGGACUGGGGUGAAGAGACCGAGGACGGCGCGGUGUACAGUGUCUCCCUGCGGCGGCAGAGCAGUCAGCGCUGGAGCCCGGCGCAGGGCCCCGGGGGCAGCCAGGCCCCCAGCCCCAUCGUCAAUACCUUCCUCCACUAUCGAACCAGCAAGGUGCGGGUGCUGAGGGCGGCGCGCCUGGAGCGGCUGGUGGGAGAGUUGGUGUCUGGAGACCGUGAGCAGGACCCCAGCUUUGUGCCCGCCUUCCUGGCCACCUACCGGACCUUUGUACCCACUGCCAGCCUGCUGGGCUUUCUGCUGCCACCAACGCCGCCGCCCCCACCUCCCGGGUCAGUAGCGAACCAGAACCUCCAUAUUACCCACCCUAGAACCCCAAUUGGGCACCCCCCUCCACCUCCUCAGGUGUGGAAUCUGGAAACACCUCCCAGACCCAGAGCCCUCUUGCUAAGCCCCCUCUAGGUUCCCCCUUCUUCACCUGCUGGGGGGCCUCUUCCCAGGCUAGAGAUCAAGAAGACGGCGGUACAAGAUCUGAGCUUCAACAAGAACCUGAGGUGGGUCCUUCAUCCAGAUAGGGGAGUGCGGGGAGGGAAAUCCCGGAGGUCAAAGGUUAGCAGUUGGCCUGGGGUCUUGAAAAUUGCAGGUUGGAUAAUAAAAGACUGGGAGUCAGGCCGGGCGCAGUGGCUCAUGCCUGUAAUCCCAAUA
rnacentral:sRNA from 1 species